rnacentral:lncRNA from 1 species
CACAGUGAAUUGAAAGUUGAGCCGUGCGCUGAGCCAUGCUGGUAAUUUAAUACCAUCCUUGGAAUAUCUCCUCUCAACCUUGAACAGGAAGCAAGUAUUUGCGAAAAGUGGCCUAAGAUCUUCUUCAUAUCAGUUUGGUUUCUUCAUGGAGAGACAAAGAAGGUCUUCAAGUUCUACCGAAGAGGAAAAGAAGCAGGAAACAUGUGGCUCUUAGAGACAUUUAUAUUUGCAGAAAGUUUUCUAUGGUGUGAGCUGAUCUGUCUGGUUGGAAAUAUAACAUUGUACUCUAAAAUCACCACAGGAUUAUUAACUAAGAACCAGAGUUAAAUUUGAGUUUAGCUCCUAUUAAUUUUAUAUGUGUUGGAAGAUGUAACAGGGAUUUAUCUAUGUGAUUUAGCUAGAUCAUCUGCCAGUCUGAUAUACUUCUGGGUUCGCCAGUUGACAAAUCUUGGCAUAAUAUGGUGAUAAAAUAUAAGUCAUCCAGGCAGCAACUAUAAACAAAAAUAAAUGCCACUAUCAGUAUGCUCGC